rnacentral:rRNA from 1 species
AUUGAACGCUGGCGGCAGGCCUAACACAUGCAAGUCGAGCGGAUGAAGGGAGCUUGCUUCUGGAUUCAGCGGCGGACGGGUGAGUAACGCCUAGGAAUCUGCCUGGUAGCGGGGGAUAACGUCCGGAAACGGGCGAUAAUACCCCAUACGUCCUGAGGGAGAAAGUGGGGGAUCUUCGGACUUCACGCUAUCAGAUGAGCCUAGGUCGGAUUAGCUAGUUGGUGGGGUAAAGGCCUACCACGGCGACGAUCCGUAACUGGUCUGAGAGGAUGAUCAGUCACACUGGAACUGAGACACGGUACAGACUAGUACGGGAGGCAGCGGUGGGGAAUAUUGGACAAUGGGCGAAAGCCUGAUCCAGCCAAGCCGCGUGUGUGAAGAAGGUCUUCGGAUUGUAAAGCACUUCAGGUUGGGAGGGAGGACAGUAAGAUAAAACCUUGCUGUUUUGACGUUACCAACAGAAUAAGCACCGGCUAACUUCGUG